AGGAAGGUAGGGGAGAAUGGAAUUCCUGGUGGAGCGGUGGAAUGCGCAGAUAUCAGGAGGAACACCAGUGGCGAAGGCGGUUCUCUGGGCCUUUCCUGACGCUGAGGAGCGAAAGCGUGGGGAGCGAACAGGCUUAGAUACCCUGGUAGUCCACGCUGUAAACGGUGGGUACUAGGUGUGGGGUCCUUCCAGGGUUCCGUGCCGUAGCUAACGCUUUAAGUACCCCGCCUGGGGAGUACGGCCGCAAGGCUAAAACUCAAAGGAAUUGACGGGGCCCCGCACAAGCGGCGGAGCAUGCGGAUUAAUUCGAUGCAACGCGUAGAACCUUACCUGGGUUUGACAUGAUCGGGAGUGCUCAGAGAUGGGUGUGCCUCUUUUGGGGUCGGUUCACAGGUGGUGCAUGGCUGUCGUCAGCUCGUGUCGUGAGAUGUUGGGUUAAGUCCCGCAACGAGCGCAACCCUUGUUCACUGUUGCCAGCACGUUAUGGUGGGGACUCAGUGGAGACCGCCGGGGUCAACUCGGAGGAAGGUGGGGAUGACGUCAAGUCAUCAUGCCCCUUAUGUCCAGGGCUUCACGCAUGCUACAAUGGCUGGUACAGAGAGUGGCGAGCCUGUGAGGGUGAGCGAAUCUCGGAAAGCCGGUCUCAGUUCGGAUUGGGGUCUGCAACUCGACCUCAUGAAGUCGGAGUCGCUAGUAAUCGCAGAUCAGCACGCUGCGGUGAAUACGUUCCUGGGGCUUGCACACACCG
rnacentral:rRNA from 1 species